rnacentral:misc_RNA from 1 species
AGGGUUACAACUUACAAGUUCUUGAAACCUUGUAGCUAAAAAAAGAAUGUCUUCAAUCAAUCCUUUGAUAUUUGUUGGAGGCGAGGCUCCUUGGAGAGAUUGAAUGACCAUCAGAGCAUCACCUUCAACAAUUAUCCAAUUAAAUCCUCUGUUCUUUGCUAAAAUCAUUAUAGACCUGCAUGCCAUAGCUUCCACAACUAAGGGAUCUGUCAUGGCUGUGAGUUGAGUGCAGGACCACCCGCAUGGUUCCCCCAAUGGAGUCCUCGCAAUUGUCGCUUCUGCACCCAUAUUAGAGUCUUUAGAGACUGCACCAUCAAAGUUUA